rnacentral:rRNA from 1 species
AGUGAACGCUGGCGGUAGGCCUAACACAUGCAAGUCGAACGGCAGCACAGUAAGAGCUUGCUCUUACGGGUGGCGAGUGGCGGACGGGUGAGGAAUACAUCGGAAUCUACUUUUUCGUGGGGGAUAACGUAGGGAAACUUACGCUAAUACCGCAUACGACCUACGGGUGAAAGCAGGGGAUCUUCGGACCUUGCGCGAUUGAAUGAGCCGAUGUCGGAUUAGCUAGUUGGCGGGGUAAAGGCCAACCAAGGCGACGAUCCGUAGCUGGUCUGAGAGGAUGAUCAGCCACACUGGAACUGAGACAUGGUCCAGACUCCUACGGGAGGCAGCAGUGGGGAAUAUUGGACAAUGGGCGCAAGCCUGAUCCAGCCAUACCGCGUGGGUGAAGAAGGCCUUCGGGUUGUAAAGCCCUUUUGUUGGGAAAGAAAAGCAGCAGGUUAAUACCCCGCUGUUCUGACGGUACCCAAAGAAUAAGCACCGGCUAACUUCGUG